rnacentral:rRNA from 1 species
UACAUGGGGUGCAAACGUUUGCUCGGAAUUAUUGGGCGUAAAGCGCGCGUAGGCGGUUACUCAAGUCGGAUGUGAAAGCCCUCGGCUUAACUGAGGAAGUGCACCCGAAACUGAGUAGCUAGAGUACUAAAAGAGGGUCGCGGAAUUCCCGGUGUAGAGGUGAAAUUCGUAGAUAUCGGGAGGAACACCGGUGGCGAAGGCGGCGCCUGGGUCGACACUGACGCUGAGGCGCGAAAGCGUGGGGGAGCAAACAGG